AGGUAGCGGCAGGCUAACACAUGCAAGUCGAGCGGGAUUAGAUUUUAGCUUGCUAGGAUCUAUGAGAGCGGCGCACGGGUGCGUAACGCGUAUGCAACCUACCCUUUGCUGGGGGAUAGCCCGGAGAAAUUCGGAUUAAUACCCCAUAGUAUCACUGAUUCGCAUGUUUUAGUGAUUAAAGGUUACGGCAAAGGAUGGGCAUGCGUCCCAUUAGCUAGAUGGUGAGGUAACGGCUCACCAUGGCGACGAUGGGUAGGGGGCCUGAGAGGGUGGUCCCCCACACUGGUACUGAGACACGGACCAGACUCCUACGGGAGGCAGCAGUGAGGAAUAUUGGUCAAUGGGCGCAAGCCUGAACCAGCCAUGCCGCGUGCAGGAAGACGGUCCUAUGGAUUGUAAACUGCUUUUAUUUGGGAAUAAACUCCGGUACGUGUACCGGCCUGAAGGUACCAAAUGAAUAAGCACCGGCUAACUCCGUGCCAGCAGCCGUGGUAAUACGGAGGGUGCAAGCGUUAUCCGGAAUCAUUGGGUUUAAAGGGUCCGCAGGCGGUCUUAUAAGUCAGUGGUGAAAGCCUACAGCUCAACUGUAGAACUGCCAUUGAUACUGUAGGACUUGAAUUCGAUCGAAGUGGGCGGAAUGUGACAUGUAGCGGUGAAAUGCUUAGAUAUGUCACAGAACACCGAUAGCGAAGGCAGCUCACUAGGUCUGGAUUGACGCUCAGGGACGAAAGCGUGGGGAGCAAACAGGAUUAGAUACCCUGGUAGUCCACGCCGUAAACUAUCAAUACUCGUUUUCGGGGCUUUCGGGCUUCGGAGACCAAGCGAAAGUGAUAAGUAUUGCACCUGGGGAGUACGAUCGCAAGGUUGAAACUCAAAUGAAUUGACGGAAGGGCGAA
rnacentral:rRNA from 1 species